GGCCGGACUACUAGGUAAUUGGAGAGCAGAGGCAUAUUAAGAUUGACCAUAAGAUGGUUCAAUCUAUAAUGCACCUAGAGUUUGACCCAUAAAUCAUCCUAUGGCUCGGAUGAGUUUUUCAAAAAGUCCAUAACCAUUAGAUUUUGUUUUUAUGCUCUUACAUGUUGGUAGUUUGAAUUAAAGUUUAGAUUGCAUAUGAUGCAUG
rnacentral:lncRNA from 1 species